UUCUGAUUAAACUAGGGGUUGCUUUAACUACUCUGUCAAACUGAGUAUGUGUGCAUGCUGUCAUAUGAAGUUUUCAUAUGACAGCCAGUCACCCUGAUCAUUAAUUCCAUGGGUUAUUGACCAGAUAUUUUUCUCCAUCCAAAGCUGUAAGUAGAGAAAUUUGCACAUACCUACAUAUUUGAUGUGUGGUUAGGUUAUGCGUGUACCUGAGUUUUCAGCACAGUAGUACUUGUUUGUGAGGGGGAAGAGGGAGUUGUACUUGAAUUGAGUGUGUCAGGAGCAUGUCGGAACACCGCCAGCCCUGACUGUCAGUUGGUCUGAAUUUAAAGUGUGCUCUUUUAUUUCGCUGUUCUAUCCUUCCUUCUCUGUCUUGCCUCCUUCUGCCGGGAUUAAUGGUGUGCUCCUUUUGAACUGGGAAGUCGGAGCGUUCGACUUCCGAUGGGAAGUCGGACUGUUCAACUUCCCGGUCGGAAGUUGCUACCGGAACGACCCCUGAAGUUGGAUUUACAACUCUGAAAGUUGGAGGAACAUCACCAAACUCCGCCUCACAACCCAAGACGCCUGCUCCGUAUCCCAGUCUUGGUAUUGAGGAGGACAUUGAAACGUAUUUGGAAUACGUGAAGUAAACCACAUAUCCUUCUGACUGCGCAAAGAUCCCAGAAAACCUGGUUAAACCCGGAGACACCAUCACAGACAGCUGCAAGGAGAAUGCCAAUCCUGCACCCCGCCCGUCACCAUCAGGUGUGACAACCAAUCACACAUUCAGCAAAGAGCAAACGCUGUUCAUAAUUAGCCAAGUGCAACAGCACAUUACGUCUGAUGGACUUGGUCUCCCUAAGAACCUGGCAGAAUUGAAUGACUGGCUGAAAUCUCCCAAAGGCAGUAAAAAGGAAUUCUGGAUGGACUUAAAAGAAAAGUUGAACAGUAAGUUCGGACAAGCGUUCAGCUAUGAGAAGGUAAACAGGAAAUGGUACACUCUGGUCGAAGGAUACAAGAAAGUGAAAGACAAUAAUAAAUUAACAGAAAAAGGAACACGCUUCCAAUUUUAUGCAGAAAUGGAUGCACUUAUGGAUCAAAAUGAUGAACAAAAUGAAGUGGACCCUCUUAUCAGGACAUCAGAGGAGCUGCAGGUGUGCGGGCCUGAGGCCCUGGGACGUUGCAGCAGUGUCACAACGUUCGCUGAAACUACACUUAGCCAAGCUACACCAAGACAACUUGCUGCUAAACGUAAGCCAGAACCCUUUGCCACACCUCCACCAGAACCCUCUGCCACACCUGCGCCAAAACCCUCUGCCACACCUAUGCCUCCUUGCAAAUGUAAAAAGUGGGAGGAUGAGAAAAAGAUGUCCUUGCGAGAGUUUGAUGAAAACUGUCAACGGCGCCACGAGGAAGUUAUGCACGUGGAAAAGAUGAAGAUAAAGCUUUUGUACAUGAUAUAUUCACAGCGGCGUUAAAAGCUGUACAGUGUCCAAGCUCUUGCACAGCAAAAGCAAACCACAAAACAAAAAGUGAGAAAAAGGAAAAAAAAGAAGAAAGAAAACGACAUACAGUAUAAAAGACCGUCCUGUUAAUUAUUUACUUUCUGUUUGCCUUUUUUUUACUUUUUUAAAAACAUUUUUAUACAGUUUGCACAAAAAUAGCACUUCUUGCACAUUGUGUCUAAUUGUCUAUUAAUUGUAAAUUGUAAAAAAAAAAAAUCUCCAACAGGCUCCGGCUGUGACACCUCAAACACGGCAGGGAGGUCAAGUUGAGUGGCCUUUGGUGAGGCCUCGCUGACAGCCUGUCAGUCAGAGUGGCUACACCCUUAAUUAUGCAGAACUUAAAGCCUUAAUAACAUUUAAAGGGGAUUGUUAUAAAAAAUAUUCACCCCCGCAUAGUUCAAUCAAUCAAUCAAACUUUAUUUAUAUAGCACUUUUUGUACAAACAGAAUGUAGCACAAAGUGCUUUACACACACACACACACACACACAGUCACACAAAAAGAUUAAUUCAGAGACUCUAAUGGUAAGG